ACGGUACAACGAGUCGCAAGCUCGCGAGAGUAAGCUAAUCUCUUAAAGCCGUUCUCAGUUCGGACUGUAGGCUGCAACUCGCCUACACGAAGUCGGAAUCGCUAGUAAUCGCGGAUCAGCAUGCCGCGGUGAAUACGUUCCCGGGCCUUGUACACACCGCCCGUCACACCAUGGGAGUUUGUAACGCCCAAAGUCGGUGGCCUAACCUUUAUGGAGGGAGCCGCCUAAGGCGGGACAGAUGACUGGGUGAAGUCGUAACAAGGUAAC
rnacentral:rRNA from 1 species